rnacentral:rRNA from 1 species
GACGAACGCUGGCGGCGUGCCUAAUACAUGCAAGUAGAACGCACAGUUUAUACCGUAGCUUGCUACACCAUAGACUGUGAGUUGCGAACGGGUGAGUAACGCGUAGGUAACCUGCCUGGUAGCGGGGGAUAACUAUUGGAAACGAUAGCUAAUACCGCAUAAUAUUGAUUAUUGCAUGAUAAUUAAUUGAAAGGUGCAAUUGCACCACUACCAGAUGGACCUGCGUUGGAUUAGCUAGUAGGUGAGGUAACGGCCCACCUAGGCGACGAUACAUAGCCGACCUGGGAGGGUGGUCGGCCCACCUGGGACUGGAACAAGGGCCAAACCUCUUAGGGGGGCAGCAGUAGGGAAUCUUCGGAAAUGGGCGAAAGUCUGACCGCGCAACGCCGCGGGAGUGAAGAAGGUUUUCGGAUUGUAAAGCUCUGUUGUAAGAGAAGAAAGGGUGUGAGAGUGGAAAGUUCACACUGUGACGGUAUCUUAACAGAAAGGGACGGCUAACUACGUG